rnacentral:rRNA from 1 species
CCAGACUCCUACGGGAGGCAGCAGUGAGGAAUAUUGGUCAAUGGCCGGAAGGCUGAACCAGCCAAGCCGCGUGAAGGACGAAGGUGCCAAGCAUUGUAAACUUCUUUUGUCAAGGGACAAAAUCAGGCUCGAGAGCCUGACCGAGGGUACUUGAAGAAAAAGCAUCGGCUAACUCCGUGCCAGCAGCCGCGGUAAUACGGAGGAUGCGAGCGUUAUCCGGAUUUAUUGGGUUUAAAGGGUGCGCAGGCGGAUUUUUAAGUCAGCGGUCAAAUCGUGGGGCUCAACCCCAUCCAGCCGUUGAAACUGGGGAUCUAGAGUGUGCGAGAGGUAUGCGGAAUGCGCAGUGUAGCGGUGAAAUGCUUAGAUAUUGCGCAGAACUCCGAUUGCGAAGGCAGCAUACCGGCGGCGAUCUGACGCUGAGGCACGAAAGCGUGGGGAUCGAACAGGAUUAGAUACCCCAGUA